UCGGGAAUAUUGCGCAAUGGAGGAAACUCUGACGCAGUGACGCCGCGUGCAGGAAGAAGGUUUUCGGAUUGUAAACUGCUUUAGACAGGGAAGAAAAAGGACAGUACCUGUAGAAUAAGCUCCGGCUAACUACGUGCCAGCAGCCGCGGUAAUACGUAGGGAGCAAGCGUUAUCCGGAUUUAUUGGGUGUAAAGGGUGCGUAGACGGGAAGUCAAGUUAGUUGUGAAAUCCCUCGGCUCAACUGAGGAACUGCAACUAAGCUAACUUUCUUGAGUGCUGGAGAGGAAAGUGGAAUUCCUAGUGUAGCGGUGAAAUGCGUAGAUAUUAGGAGGAACACCAGUGGCGAAGGCGACUUUCUGGACAGUAACUGACGUUGAGGCACGAAAGUGUGGGGAGCAAACAGGAUUAGAUACC
rnacentral:rRNA from 1 species